GUGGGGAAUAUUGGACAAUGGGCGAAAGCCUGAUCCAGCCAUGCCGCGUGUGUGAAGAAGGUCUUCGGAUUGUAAAGCACUUUAAGUUGGGAGGAAGGGCAGUAAGUUAAUACCUUGCUGUUUUGACGUUACCAACAGAAUAAGCACCGGCUAACUUCGUGCCAGCAGCCGCGGUAAUACGAAGGGUGCAAGCGUUAAUCGGAAUUACUGGGCGUAAAGCGCGCGUAGGUGGUUUUGUAAGUUGGAGGUGAAAUCCCCGGGCUCAACCUGGGAACUGCCUCCAAAACUGCAUGACUAGAGUACGGUAGAGGGUAGUGGAAUUUCCUGUGUAGCGGUGAAAUGCGUAGAUAUAGGAAGGAACACCAGUGGCGAAGGCGACUACCUGGACUGAUACUGACACUGAGGUGCGAAAGCGUGGGGAGCAAACAGGAUUAGAUACCCCGGUAGUCC
rnacentral:rRNA from 1 species